AAGCUAGAGGUGUCAGAAA
rnacentral:snRNA from 1 species